GUUCCUACAUUCAUGGUGUCCUGCAGGAGGAGGAGAAAGAAGAGAAGGUGGACACUCCGCAGGGUAUCCUGUCUGCUUUUCUGAAAGAAGAUUCCUUCCUUAAUAUCUGCAGGGAGAUUGUGAACGAUGGACUGAAACUCAGUAUGCUGUCACCAAAGUGGGAAAAAAAAAAAAAAAAAGAUGAGGUACAGGCCAUUGCCACCCGCAUUGAGAAGCAGGCACAGAUUGUGUGGAAGCCCAGGAUGGUGUCAGAAGAGGAAAAACAGAAAAGCUGCCCUGUGGGCCCAGUGUGCUGAUGUAAAAACUGGAGAGGACUCUGUUUCCAAACACCAAUGUAGAAGAUGUCCUCAAUGCUCAGAAAUUGCAGAGAGACUUACUUCGGGAUGAGUCCCAAAGGAAGAAGGAACAGGACAGGCUGCAGAGGGAGAGAGACCAACUAGCCAAGCUGGAGCUCAAGGAAAAGGAAAAGAAAAGGACACAGAGAGGGGAGCGAAAGCUAUAACCCUGGCCUGUUCAAAUCUUCCCCUGCUUCAAGAAUUUGAUGAAUGGGAAAACUGGUUUUCAAAUGUGUGUUUAAGAGAAAUGAGGAGAACAUUGCAUAGUUAAUUCCCAAGGCAUUUCCCUUUGUUUACAUGAUCAAUAGGAAAAUCAGAAUCACUUUUGCUUACAAAAUGUGCCAUGUUGUGGUGGUGUGAGCGAUCAGAUUAUUAUAGUGGAUGUCUGUACCAAAGAGCAGCAAUUGGUACAGCAAUUUAUUUUUAAUAAUGAAGUCCUGUGCUCUUUUAGGCUCCUGUUUUUACAAAAUGUCUUCCCUCACCUUCCCUCACCUUCAAUAAAUUUUCCUUGGAUAAAAUAGCAGGAUUCAGAAAGCUAACAGUUACCGUUUUCAUCUGGGAGAAGAAACAUGAUCAUUCCUCUGAGAUGAAAAGUGUGAGUACAAAUUACUUUAGAGGCAAUAUUUACUCCUAAAUGUAGUUUAGUUCUAUGGCUGAUAUAUAGAGCUAAUUAGGGAGCCAGGUAGGGUGGUGCACACCUGUAAUCCCAGCUCCUAGGGAGGCUGAAGCAGGAGGAUCACAAGUUUAAGG
rnacentral:lncRNA from 1 species